rnacentral:rRNA from 1 species
UACGAAGGGGGCUAGCGUUGUUCGGAAUUACUGGGCGUAAAGCGCACGUAGGCGGAUUGUUAAGUUAGAGGUGAAAUCCCGGAGCUCAACUUCGGAACUGCCUUUGAUACUGGCAAUCUAGAGUCCGGAAGAGGUUAGUGGAAUUCCCAGUGUAGAGGUGAAAUUCGUAGAUAUUGGGAAGAACACCAGUGGCGAAGGCGGCUAACUGGUCCGGUACUGACGCUGAGGUGCGAAAGCGUGGGGAGCAAACAGG